rnacentral:rRNA from 1 species
AGAGUUUGAUCAUGGCUCAGAAUCAACGCUGGCGGCGCGCCUAACACAUGCAAGUCGAACGAGAAAGCCGCAAGGCAAGUAAAGUGGCGUACGGGUGAGUAACACGUGGAUGAUCUGCCUUUUAGUGGGGAAUACCGCUGGGAAACCGGUGACAAUACCGCAUAAUCCCGAGAGGGGAAAGCAGCAAUGCGCUGAAAGAGGAGUCCGCGGUCGAUUAGUUAGUUGGCGGGGUAAAAGCCCACCAAGACUGUGAUCGAUAGCCGGCCUGAGAGGGCACACGGCCACACUGGCACUGAAACACGGGCCAGACUCCUACGGGAGGCAGCAGUGGGGAAUCUUGCACAAUGGGGGAAACCCUGAUGCAGCGACGCCGCGUGAGCGAUGAAGCCCUUCGGGGUGUAAAGCUCUUUCGUCAGGGAAGAUAAUGACGGUACCUGGAGAAGCAGCUGCGGCUAACUACGUGCCAGCAGCCGCGGUAAUACGUAGGCAGCAAGCGUUGUUCGGAGUUACUGGGCGUAAAGGGUGCGUAGGCGGCUAUUUAAGUUUGGUGUGAAAUCUCCCGGCUCAACUGGGAGGGUGCGCCGAAUACUGAGUGGCUAGAGUGCGGGAGAGGAAAGUGGAAUUCCUGGUGUAGCGGUGAAAUGCGUAGAUAUCAGGAGGAACACCGGCGGUGUAAACGGCUUUCUGGACCGUAACUGACGCUGAGGCACGAAAGCGUGGGUAGCAAACAGGAUUAGAUACCCUAGUAGUCC